rnacentral:rRNA from 1 species
GGGUCAGUAGGUUGGUCGUGCCACCGGUACGUACUGGUCUCACUGAUUCCUCCUUCCUGAAGAACCGUAAUGCCAUUAAUUUGGUGUUGCGGGGAAACAGGACUGUUACUUUGAAAAAAUUAGAGUGUUUAAAGCAAGCUAACGCUUGAAUACAUCAGCAUGGAAUAAUGAAAUAGGACGAUCGAUCCUAUUUUGUUGGUUUCUAGGAUUGACGUAAUAAUUAAUAGGGAUAGUGGG